ACCACCCCCCCCACCUCCGAGCUGCAGCUCCCCAUUUGCCAACACAUUUGGGAGCCACAGAGGCCAUCUUGGAUAAUCCUGGAAGCUGUAUCUUCCAUCUUUAGGAGGGGCAAAUCCCAUCCUAAGACGCCUGCUGGAGAAUGGAAGCUCAUUGUAAGUGCUGGAGGUCAAAUCUAGAGCCUUUCUCAUGCUAGAAAAGUGCAGCACUUGAAGAGGCAGGGUACAAGACUGACAGCUGGACAACUGGAGGUUGUAUAACUGCUUCUCCAGAACUUUGACUCUGGCCUCCUCAAACAGAAGGAUGAUCUCCAACAAAUCAAAUGGAAAAAGUAAAAGAACCCAUGGGGAAGAAAACCAUGUGACUACUGAGGCAGAAUUGGAGUGUUGCAGUUCCCAGUCAAGGAUGGUCAAGGUUUGACAAGAGCCACAGAAAACAAAGAAGCAAGGAAGGAUUCUCCUCUGGAACUCUCAGAGGGACAUCGCCCUGCUGACACCUUGAUUUAGGACUUCAAGUUUCUAGAACUCCUCCUUGACCUGUGGAACGUGUGUUUGGGGCUGUCCCGAACAAAAAGGAUGUGGUGGUGGAUGUGGACACCAUGAAGCAUGCUCCUCCAGUGCUUGCUGCUCCCCCACCUCACUGCUGAGCUCUCUCCCCCACCAGUGGACAUUACUGGGUGAGUCCUGCCUGCUGUUCACAACACUGAACAGGUACAAGGGUCUCCCGUAGUCCCCACAUUUGCAGGCACCUGCCUCUUGGCCCUACUGAUUUCUGUAGAAAGAGGACCCUAAAAACCCUGUGGCUGUCUUCUGACAAAAUGCCCUGUACAUAAGGAGGAACCACAUGGGAGAAAGAUUCCUGGGUGGAGGGGACAAUUGACAUAAACCCCUCACAGCUAGCUGAUAUUGCCUUUAAGGUAUAUAAUGCCUGGGAGGAACAGAAACUAAAGUCAACUCAUGUUUUAUUUGCAACCCCUGCAAAGGGAUCCUUCGGGAAGCCUAAAGCAAAAGAUGGGAAGGGCCUCCCUCCAUUAAGAAUCAAUAUGGGACUGGGGUUGUGGCUCAGUGGUACAGCAUUUGCCUAACAUGUGUGAGGCACUGGGUUUGAUUCUCAGCACUGCAUAUAAAUAAAUGAAUAAAAUAAAGGUCCAUCAACAACUAAAAAAAUAUUAAAAAAAAAAAAAAGAAUCAGUAUGCCUACUGCAAGGAAAAGGCCCAGCAGGGACCCUUGGGUAGAGUUGACAAUGGGGGUCUCAUUUAAAGUUGAUAACAUUGUGAUAAUAAGAAUGAGAAGUCAGGCUCACCAUUUUUUUGCUCCAACCUCUUGAAUGCAAACUUGGAGAAUAAAGAUUACAAGAUAGUUUUUGGGGCUGGGGAGAUAGCUCAGUUGGUAGAGUGCUUGCCUUAAACACAAGGCCCUAGGUUCAAUCCCCAGCACUGCAAAAAAGAAAAAAAAGACAUAGUUUUUGUACAUGUCAGAUUGUCUGAUACC